rnacentral:rRNA from 1 species
UACAGAGGGUGCGAGCGUUGUUCGGAAUUAUUGGGCGUAAAGUGCGCGUAGGCGGUGCGGUAAGUCACCUGUGAAAUCUCCUGGCUCAACUGGGAGCUUGCAGGCGAAACUGCCGUGCUGGAGUGUGGGAGAGGUGCGUGGAAUUCCUGGUGUAGCGGUGAAAUGCGUAGAUAUCAGGAGGAACACCUGUGGCGAAAGCGGCGCACUGGACCACAACUGACGCUGAGGCGCGAAAGCUAGGGGAGCAAACAGG